AGGGCAUGGGUGAUAUCUCCUCCACGAAAAUUUGGAGUGACUUUGUCAAUUCCUAUGACUGAUAAUAAAGGAAGUAAAGGAUUGAGUUUUAAGGACAAAAUUGCAUGUGAUGCCUACAGCCACAUUUGUACAUACUCUGAGUAGACAACCAAGUGUUGGAACUCUGUCCGUUUUUUGCUGAAGUGAUGGAUUUGGACCCUGUGUCUUCUCCGGAGAAGAUUUCUUUUACACGUGUUUCCCUGGUAGCCUGUGAAGCAAGAGGAGAGGAGGAGCAGCCACCGAUAUCCGAUUCAUUAUUACUCUCUAAGCUGUCGAAAUCAGUGCCCAAGAAAGUCACUCUCUUAUCCCUAGGCUUUUUCAGGAUGGAUCUAUGUGUAGAAUUUUUAUUUUUACUAAUAAAGGAUUUUUUUAAUUA